CUGCUUGCUUACGGUUUCGUUCGGGCAACCGAGCGGGGCCGGGCACGCUACCCUUGCUUAUGUAUACCUAUUGUUAUUCCCUCGGCGGGGAAACCCGCCGCUGGGAUCACAUAAACCCUUUUGUAUGAAGCAUCAAACCUUCUGAAAACAAAUUAAUAAUUA
rnacentral:misc_RNA from 1 species